CCGCAGCCAACCAGGCAUGUUUGACAGAGGGGAUGUUUCUCUGCUCUCUCUCCUUUUCUCUCUCAGACAUGGUCAUGGUAAGACUUCCAACUAGUUCAUAUUAUAAAUGGAAACACAGCUCACAUGAUCUGCACUUGUAUUAUUCAGUCAUCUGGGGACACUUGAUUUGGCUGAAUUAGACUCUGAAACAGUGUUUUUUAAAAAUUCAGAGGAAGGGGAUUUAGGUUGACGUAACGAUAUAAAGUGAAACAAGGUUAUGAAAAUCCACUGAAAGAGGAAUUAAAGCCAAGAAAGACGCAACAACAAUAAAGCUGUUUACUACUAUUAUUAUCAUUAUUGUAAGCAUGGAGCUGGAGCAUAGACUCUAUAUAGAAUGGACGCCGUCUGCCUCCUCGCUGGGUGAAGCUACCAUGAGAACAGCACCCUCUGGUGACGGGCUGCAGUAUAGGUCAUAAAUCCCGCCUCCUCCAGCAAUCCCUAUGAAGCUGUGGACAAACUUUAGAAAUCAAUUCCACAGAAUGUUAAUUUUUCUCCCCCCUGGUUUCGAUGUUGACAUGUCGUCACUGUAAGACCAGUUUGUGCUCAAGUCCUCUUUUUUCUGUGCAGCUCCAUUUUUAAAAGUUAUUAGAGGGUUCACCUCAGAGAUACGCUGUUUGAGCCAAGCGUCAUCACAGCAAUUCCCGGCGACUCUCCCGCCAAAUGCUACUGCGCAAUGUUGGUUUUAUGAAGUGGAGAAAAACUCUGAGAAACUUGGAGCUUUUUGGCUAUAAAUCCGAAUACUGGUGGAAGGCGGAACCAAGUUGUCCAUAGUAUAUAAAGUCUAUGAGCUGGAGUGGGGGAAUAAUGUAUAAAAAUAUGAAAAAUGUGCGUAUCAGACUCUGCCCCUUUUAUCUAAAGACCAUUCAGGCCAUGCACCUGAGACUUGUACUUGUACAAAGUACUCCUCUUUCACCAGUGCAGCUGUUGAAGUUCACAGAAACCCAAAUAUUAGGCUUUGGACUCAACAGCCAGCAAAGGAUCCUGCAGACAGGUAAACAUGUGUUUUCAGCGUACACAUGAUAAUACAUGGAUACAGUGUCAGUGGAGUCAGUCAUUUAUUCUUGAGGAUGAGUUUCGAAGCUUAUCGUCACUUUGAAAAUGCUGACCUGAUAUUCAGUGAAAAAAGGUGCAGAUCUUUAGCCUCCUUGCUCACAGCUAAAGUGUGCUCUGCUGCCAGUCAAACUGAUGCCGAAAGAGAAAACAGCCACUUAAGCCAAAACUUUUUGUUUUUCAUUUGUUUAUUUGACAGGGACAGUACAUCAGACAUUGUUGCAUCUAAUUAAAGAGCAGCCGAUGCUGUUUAUGCAGGACUUCUAGCCGUGGCUAAUUUGCGUCCUUGUCCCCGGUUAGACAGCUGGAAAUACAACACACAAUACAUAAACCACUGAAUAAAAACUAACAUUAUAGCAGGUACAGACAGGCAAUCAUAUGUUUGCAUAAAAACCAACAGCAAAGCAGACAAAACAAGCAGUUUCUUCUACGCACAAACACAACUGAAAAACCCAAGAAUUAAUGUGACACAGAUAGGUUGUCAGGUAUGAUUUUUUUCCAACCAUGUUUUUCCUAUUUUUCUCCUUUUAUAUUUGUAUGUAAUUUCCUGUGUUUUUGCAUUCCAGGCAGAAACCUUGAGCAGAACCAAACACAUAUAAGACGGUUAUCUGCCGAGACUGCACUGGGUUUAGAAAGGGGAGAGAGGGCGAUGCAGAAAGAGAGAGAUGAACAGAGAUGAGACUGAUGCAGGUAGUUGAAGCAGCUGGAAAGCAGGUAGCAGGACGUCUGCAGCAGCAAUCCAGAGGAACCUACGGCAUGAU